CGUGAGUGAUGAAGGCUUUCGGGUCGUAAAGCUCUGUCAAGUGGGAAGAACCUGCUUGAUGCCAAUGCCAUCAGGCACUGACGGUACCACUGAAGGAAGCACCGGCUAACUCCGUGCCAGCAGCCGCGGUAAGACGGAGGGUGCAAGCGUUAUUCGGAAUUACUGGGCGUAAAGGGCGCGCAGGCGGCCCCUUAAGUCAGGCGUGAAAGCCCGGGGCUAAACUCCGGAAGGGCGUCUGAAACUAAGGAGCUCGAGUACGGGAGAGGGAAGUGGAAUUCCUGGUGUAGAGGUGAAAUUCGUAGAUAUCAGGAGGAACACCGGUGGCGAAGGCGACUUCCUGGACCGAUACUGACGCUGAGGCGCGAAAGCGUGGGGAGCGAACAGGAUUAGAGACCCUGGUAGUCCACGCCGUAAACGAUGAACACUAGGUGUAGCGGGUAUUGACUCCUGCUGUGCCGCAGCUAACGCAUUAA
rnacentral:rRNA from 1 species